rnacentral:lncRNA from 1 species
GGAUCAAUAUCCUUUUUUUCUCACUAUUAUAACCACCAGAACCUCUCAUUUCCUUAAUCAUGCUGAAUGUAACAGUUACUUCUAAAUGCAAAUCAACCAUUUGAUCUAUAAACAUGAUAAAAUAACAAAUCUAAAACUUCAAUAAAUUUAUUAAAUAUAAUUAAUAUAUCUUUACAUAAUUUUAAAAAGAGUCAAUUCUUAAAACAAACAUGCCAUUUUUUAACACAAAACAAGAACAAUGAACAACAGUCAAACAUUCACAACCUUUCCAUAAAAGAUCACAGAUUCUGAUACUAAUCAAGCUAUCAGUUUAAAAAAAGCUUUUAUAAAAUGGACCACUUUCAAGAUAAAUGGCUUUACUGAUAUCAGCAUUAUACAAACACAACAUUUCAACAUAUACAUAAGUAUACAUAUACCAGGCAACUUAUGGACCUAGUAUUGUGCUUAGCACAGAGAUAGGAUUGACAAAAUAAUUCUUUAAUAUGAGUAUUUAUCAGCAAUUUGUACAUUUCCCUUUGAUCUUUCUGCCUAAUAUGUUUUAGAUCAUGGACAGGACCCACUACUUAAAAAAAAAGGCAAUGACUUCAAAUAUCAGUGCAGAAACAUCAUUUGUCAAUUUAUGAAUAUGAUGGAAGUCAAAUUGACUGAUAGUUAUAUUAAAAUGUUUGACUUAUAUUUAUUCAUAAAUAAUAGUUAUUUGCACCUUGAAAAUUGCAUUACAUCAAUGGACAAAACGGCUUAUAUCUAACAGGGGAUACGUAUACAAUGUGUAGUCUACUUUCAUAAGAGAUAAUCUUUGAUAUCUACAUUUGACUUUAAAGGACCGUAUGUGGAAGAAAAAAAACCAAUUCAGUAAAAUAAAAAAAAUAAAAUAAAGUCAGACUAAGUCCUUAUUUACUAAAUAUUUUACCACCAAAAGUUGACCUAAAUUCCAGAUUUAUUUUAAAGUGCCAAUGAUUAAUCUGGAAUUUUAGUUCAUUCACUCAAUUUAUCUCAAUAAUAAGUUCAUACAUUAUUUCUGAAUUUACAGUGGAUGGAUAGAUUUUGGUUUUAUAGUCCCAAAAUCUAUUGUAACAGUUUGGGUUGGUUUGUCAUGUGUUUGGCUUUCAUCUUGCAUCUAUUUCGUUGAUGAGUUUGAUAUGGACUUUACAGUAAUAAAUUUCAUUCUAUGAAAAUAUACAUAACUUUCUCUAAUUCUUUGUCAAUUUAUCCCUUUCUGCACCCAUUGUAUAAAAAAAAUUUAAAUAACAUGUGGUUCAAUGAUCUCAGUUCUUCAUUGGUUAAAAUCCGAUUAUGACGUCGUAUUUUCUUGUUUUCCUCUCGGAAUUUCCUAUUGUGACGGCAUGAAAAAAGGCGACCAUACCUGAUGAUGUCACAUAGAAAGAACACAUCUUUUUGCAGAUCAGUCGCAAAGAAGGAAUAAGUUUGCCUGCGUAUUGUUUGAAAAUCAUUAGAGAAACAGAUUUAUUGUUUGAAAAUCAUUAGAGAAACAGAUUCCACCACCAAAUCUUGUGUAAUACGAUAUUUAUCCACUCUCGACAGUUAAAUUUUAAAUAUUUAAAACGCUCUGCAAGCCUCGCCUUUUAAAUUUGAAAAUUUUACUGUCUCGAGUGGAUUAAUAUUGUAUCACACUCAACGCAGUGGUAGAAUCUAACUUUAUAAACUAAUUUUCUACACAUAACUACAUCAUUUUAAUUAAUUUAAACAAAUCAAAAACAUCAACAAAUAAAUUAACAUAAAUAAACAAUACAUAGAUUUUAAUUACUGAAGCACCAUACAAGUUUAAAAUAAAUAAAUGGCACAAUAUUUGAUAUCACAUUUAUGCUUUAUUCCAAGAAAACAUAAGUACACAGACUUUUAGAACACUUUCCAUUCAAACCAUCAGAAUGGGGAUAGCUUGAAAACAUAAACCCCCUAGUUUCUAACACAAUCACUUUAAGGAAGCAAUUAAGGACUCUUACUAUUGUAAAUUGGAGUAUUAUACCUAUCUUUCAGAAACCGAGAUAGAAGGCAUGAUGAUCAGAACAAAAACAAUCAUUUUCUAAACACUGACAUUCAAUUUAAAGAUGAAAUGUUGGUCAAAGAACCUCCUUUAAGUCUGAAGUAAAACAGAGAAAUUCAAUUAUUGCUGAGUGGCAUUACUAAGACUAUAAAAUUUUUGCUAAACUAGUAGCUAUAUUUCCCUCUUGUAAUGGCAUCCUAAAAUUGUCUAAGCAAGCAUUAUUUGCAAAGUUUCAAAAUUUUCCUUUCAGCAUGUAUUGUUGCUCUUAUUAACAUAUAAUGUUGAUGGGAGCGGGACAAAAGACCCCUGUUAAUAGUUAUAGUAUUAAAG